UUGGGGAGGGUGGAGCUGUUUUCUGGGUAGUUAAGAGUUAAGCCCUUCUGGACUUCCUCACUGGUCUCUUCCUGAACUUCCUCCUCUCCAGCCCUGGAGUCAGCACCCUGAGCCAGCAGUGUCUUGUCCCCAUGGCCUGCCUGAGUCCCUCUCAGCUCAAAAAGUUUCAGGAGGAUGGGUUUCUGCUGUUGGAAGGAUUCUUGACCGCAGAGGAGUGUGUGGCCAUGCAACAGAGGAUUGGUGAGAUUGUGGCUGAGAUGGACGUCCCUCUGCACUGUCGGACAGAGUUUUCCACCCAGGAAGAUGAGCAGCUUAGAGCUCAGGGCAACACAGACUAUUUCUUGAGCAGUGGUGACAAGGUUCGAUUCUUCUUUGAGAAAGGCGUUUUUGACAAGAAAGGAAAUUUCUUGGUCCCUCCAGAGAAAUCUGUCAACAAAAUCGGUCAUGCUCUGCACGCCCAUGACCCUGUCUUCAGGAGUGUGACACAUUCUCCCAAGGUGCAGGCUUUGGUCAGAAAUUUGGGCCUCCAGCUGCCAGUGGUGGUACAGAGCAUGUAUAUCUUUAAGCAACCUCACUUUGGCGGUGAAGUCUUCCCUCACCAAGAUGCUACCUUUCUGUACACGGAGCCCCCGGGCCGUGUGCUGGGCGUGUGGAUUGCGAUAGAGGAUGCUACGCUGGAGAACGGCUGCCUCUGGUUCAUCCCUGGCUCCCAUACUAGCCGGGUGUCAAGAAGAAUGAUCAGAGCCCCUGCAGGCUCCAGGCCUGCCACCAGCUUCCUUGGGUCAGAGCCAGCCUGGGAUAAUAACCUCUUUGUGCCUUUGCCAGUGCAGAGAGGGGGUCUGGUCCUGAUCCAUGGACAAGUGGUGCAUAAGAGUGAGCAGAACCUCUCGGACCACUCGCGCCAGGCCUAUACUUUCCAUCUCAUGGAGGCUGCUGCUGGCACUGUCUGGAGCCCAGAGAAUUGGCUCCAGCCCACAACUGAGCUGCCUUUCCCCCCACUGUACAUCUAAAGGCCCUGGCAAAACUGGGCUGGUCCUCCAAGGAGUGAAGCUGUCAACACCAGAGCCUCUGGCUGCAAACCAAGGGCACAUCUUCCUGUAUGGGCUUUCUUUCUGAUGGUGUCUAUGACCUUUGGUCCAGCAGACAGGGAGCCAAGAAGCAGAAGUGGCAGGGCAGUAGCCCAGGCUGGGUGGAGGGCUUCCUCCACAAUUUUGCCUCUCUGUCACCUUUCUGUCCUAACCCAGCCUCCUGAACUGGCCUCUCAGCAGCGAAAGGAUUCUGGUUGAGUUCCAGUUUUCUCUUGGGUGGAAAUUACUGUGUAAAGCACCGAAUAAAAAUGACUUAAAAUAUA